CAAUAGCGCAUAUUAAAGUUGUUGCGGUUAAAAAGCUCGUAGUUGGAUUUCUGCCGAGGACGACUGGUCCGCCCUCUGGGUGAGUAUCUGGUUCGGCCUGGGCAUCUUCUUGGAGAACGUAUCUGCACUUGACUGUGUGGCGCGGCAUGCAGGACUUUUACUUUGAGGCAAUUAGAGUGUUUCAAGCAGGCACACGCCUUGAAUACAUUAGCAUGGAAUAAUAAGAUAGGACCUUGGUUCUAUUUUGUUGGUGUCUAGAGCUGAGGUAAUGAUUAAUAGGGAUAGUUGGGGGCAUUCGUAUUUAACUGUCAGAAGUGAAAUUCUUGGAUUUGUUAAAGACGGACUACUGCGAAAGCAUUUGCCAAGGAUGUUUUCAUUGAUCAAGAACGAAAGUUAGGGGAUCGAAGACGAUCAGAUACCAU
rnacentral:rRNA from 1 species